UUAGGAUGGGCAACUGUUUUGAA
rnacentral:misc_RNA from 1 species